rnacentral:rRNA from 3 species
AGACCCGAAACCCGGUGAUCUAGCCAUGGGCAGGUUGAAGGUUGGGUAACACUAACUGGAGGACCGAACCGACUAAUGUUGAAAAAUUAGCGGAUGACCUGUGGCUGGGGGUGAAAGGCCAAUCAAACCGGGAGAUAGCUGGUUCUCCCCGAAAGCUAUUUAGGUAGCGCCUCGUGAAUUCAUCUCCGGGGGUAGAGCACUGUUUCGGCUAGGGGGCCAUCCCGGCUUACCAACCCGAUGCAAACUGCGAAUACCGGAGAAUGUUAUCACGGGAGACACACGGCGGGUGCUAACGUCCGUCGUGAAGAGGGAAACAACCCAGACCGCCAGCUAAGGUCCCAAAGUCAUGGUUAAGUGGGAAACGAUGUGGGAAGGCCCAGACAGCCAGGAUGUUGGCUUAGAAGCAGCCAUCAUUUAAAGAAAGCGUAAUAGCUCACUGGUCGAGUCGGCCUGCGCGGAAGAUGUAACGGGGCUAAACCAUGCACCGAAGCUGCGGCAGCGACACUGUGUGUUGUUGGGUAGGGGAGCGUUCUGUAAGCCUGUGAAGGUGUGU